AUACAGAGGGUGCGAGCGUUAAUCGGAAUUACUGGGCGUAAAGCGCGCGUAGGCGGCUACUUAAGUCAGAUGUGAAAUCCCCGGGCUCAACCUGGGAACUGCAUCUGAUACUGGGUAGCUAGAGUUUAGGAGAGGGAAGUAGAAUUUCAGGUGUAGCGGUGAAAUGCAUUGAGAUCUGAAGGAAUACCAGUGGCGAAGGCGGCUUCCUGGCCUAAAACUGACGCUGAGGUGCGAAAGCGUGGGUAGCAAACGGGAUUAGAAACCCCGGUAGUCC
rnacentral:rRNA from 1 species